rnacentral:rRNA from 1 species
AAUGAACGCUGGCGGCAGGCCUAACACAUGCAAGUCGAACGAGCGGCGGACGGGUGAGUAAUGCCUGGGAAACUGACCGAUGGAGGGGGAUAACUACUGGAAACGGUAGCUAAAAACGGAUAUCACUGGAUGUGAUCAGAUGGGAUUAGCUAGUUGGUGGGGUACCGGCUUACCUAGGCGACGAUCCCUAGCUGGUCUGAGAGGAUGACCAGCCACACGUGAACUGAGACACGGUCCCGACUCCUACGGGAGGCAUCAGUGGGGAAUAUUGCGCAAUGGGCGAAAGCCUGAUGCAGCCAUGCCGCGUGUAUGAAGAAGGCCUUCGGUUUGUAAAGCACUUUCAUCAGGGAGGCGUUACUCGCACAAGAAGCACCGGCUAACUCCGUGCCAGCAGCCGCGGUAAUUC